AAAAAAAGUAAAAUAUUAGCCAGGCAUAGUGGCACAUGCCUGUAAUCUCAGCUAUUCAGGAGGCUGAGGUGGGAAGAUUGCUUGAGCCCAGGAGGUUGAGGCUGCAGUGAGCUGUGAUUCUGCCACUGCACUCCAGCCUGGGCAACAGAACAAGACCCUAUCUUAGAAAAAAAGAAAAAAAAGAAAAAGGGACAACUUACAACUCUGUGCCCUGAUGUAGAACCAUCUCCAAAAUAUAUUAAAUGAGUGUGGGAUACUAUGCUUAUAUGCGAUUGUGUGUAUUUAAUGGCUUCCUAAGAAAACAAAAAAAAACCUGAUACUAGUGAUUGCCUUGGAGGAGGGUAACUGGGAAAUUACUUUUGCAACUUUUAAAUCUUAUACCAUGUACACCUGGUAUCUAUUUUUAAAAAGCCAUUUUCAUGCCCUAAAUGAGUUUAGUCAGACCAUAGUAAGAAAAUCCUGUAAGACAUACAAAGUAUGGGGUAAUUACUGGCUUUAUGGGAAGACUGAUUUCAAUGCAAAACUCUCCCUAUGCAAGGGAGUUGUCCUGAUUUCAAUGCUAAGCUCUCUUUAGGCAAGUUACGUUGGCCUGAUUUGCCUGUUAAGUCGUAUGGGGCAGGCAAGUCUGAGUGUCCAGAGGGCAGACCUUUAACUCUUAGUUUCCUGCCUUGGGAGAAGGCACAGGGCUAAAGUGGUUUCCAGAACGUGUCUGUUGUGGUGUGAACACCAAGGAGCAGUGGACAAGCUUCCCAGGCUCAAGGUCAGAAGGUCUGGACUGGAGUCCUGCCUCUGCUACUUGGUGAAUAUGUGAUUUGGGGCAGGUUGCUUAAUCCCCGAAGCCUCAACGUGUUCAUCUAGAAAUGAAGAUUACAGGCUGGACGCAGUGGCUCAUGCCUGUAAUCCCAGCACUUUGGGAGGCUGAGGCAGGCAGAUCAUCUGAGGUCAGGAGUUCGAGACCAGCUUGGCCAACAUGGCAAAACCCCAUCCCUACUAAAAAUACAAAAAUUAGCUGGGCAUGGUGGCAGGUGCCUGUAAUCCCAACUACUCGGGAGGCUGAGGCAGGAGAAUCACUUCAACCCAGGAGGUGGAGGUUGCAGUGAGCUGAGAUUGUGCCACUGCACUCCAGCCUAGGCAACAGAGUUUUGCUCUUGUCACCCAGGCUGGAGUGCAAUGGCGCGAUCUUGGCUCACUGCAACCUCUGCCUCCCCGGGUUCAAGCGAUUCUCCUGCCUCAGCCUCCCGAGUAGCUGGGACUACAGGCACCCGCCACCAUGCCUGGCUAAUUUUUUUGUAUUUUUAGUAGAGACGGGGUUUCACCGUGUUAGCCAGGAUGGUCUCAAUCUCCUGAUCCUGUGAUCCACCUACCUCAGCCUCCUAAAGUGCUGGGAUUACAGGCGUGAGCCACCGCACCCAGCAAGGAUCUUUUUUUUUUUUUUUAAAGCUAAGUGUUUUAUACAUAUAAUAAUAUUGUUAAUAAAAUGUAUCUAAAAUUCAUACCACCAGCACACAAGGUCUCCGGCUAGCAGCAGUAAAUGGCAUUUAGUACUUACUUAGCCCCCAAGCCUGGAUGACUGACUAUACUGACUUAUUAUUACUUUUAGCUAUUUGUAGGUAGUUACAUCUGAAAAUUGACCAGGCACAGUGGUUCAUGCCUGUAAUCUCAGCACUUUGGGAGACCAAGGCAGGAGGAUCAGUUGGGGCCAAGAAUUUGAGACCAGCAUGAGUAACAUAGCAAGAACCAUCUCUACAAAAAAUAAAAAUUAACCAGGCAUGGUGAUGCAUGCUACUUGGGAGGCCAAGGUGGGAGGAUCACUUGAGCCUGGGAAUUAGAAGCUGCAGUGAGCUAGGAAGGUGCCACUGCACUCCAGCCUGGGCAACAGAGCAAGACUCUUAAUCUCUUUUAAAAAAAAAAUCUGAAAAGGACCCCAAGGAUUGAACUUUAUCUUUACAUUUAUCUUUACAAAUCCAGGAUCAAAAGAGAGGGUAAAGGAUCACUUGGGGAGUUUAGAAGUGGCAGAAGUAUCUGUAGAAGCCUUACGGUGUGAAUGUGCUGGAUUGUGUGUGCCCACCCUCAUGGGGGACUUCCUUGGAGGAUGAGGGUACACCAGCAUGGGCAGCAAAGCUGUUUGACCUCAAGGUGGAGAUCUGAGCCACCUGGUCAGUCCAUGCCCAGUUAAUUUCUAUGGAGGUUUGGUAAAGUAGGUUAGGGAGUUGGAUCCAAUGUUCCUGAAGUUUCUGUUGGUAAUAUGGCAGGGGUCGGGUCGGGUGUGGGGAGGGUUGGAUCAUUCUAAGGGCAGUACAAGACCUAAUCCCAAAGGUGAGAAGUUCCUCUCUGUGGAGGACAGCAUUUAGAACUCAAUACAUACAUGGCUUGUUCAAAAAUGGGGAAGAGAUUAGAAAAAUUUAUCCUAAUGUUUGCUUGUCAAACCAAGCCAUUCUCUCAGCAAAGUAGUGAAACCCUUACAUAAGUCCUUUGAAGCCUAGCAGCAGUAUCCUACUCAAACACAAACCACCAAAAAAAAAACAAAAAAAAAACAAAACCUCCUUGGGGACUCAGAUGUGAACCUCUCAUGGAAAAUUCAGUACCAUGUGCUUUUUGUAGCAGGUAGGAUCACCUGCUGUUUUGGAAAUUAACUUUUUUUCUGACAUCUUUUUGACCGAACUCUGCAUGUGCCUCUUGAGAAAAUAAUCCAAAUUCUUGCUUUCUUCACUUUCCAGUUUUGCUUUAUCUUUGCAUCAUGCUCUGCAGUUUACAGACAAGCAUAAUGGGUGAGAGUUCCAGUAAAUUGGCUGGAUCAUAUUUCUUAGAUUGAGUCAUGACUGAGGAACUUGUUUGGGAACAGGAAGCAGCCCAUGAAAAUGGCUGCACAUAGUAACCUGCCAGAUUGAAGAAACCGGACCACUUUCUAGUGGAAAGAUAAAAGGGCAGAAAAAUGGUUCUAUAACUCAGGGAAUGGUAAAUUUGUGAACUAGGGUUUUAACUUGUUGAAUAAUACGUCUUUGUGUGUAUUUGGGCUUUUUUAUGCUGUUAAAAGUCUCUAGUUAUUCAAGAUAAGGGAA
rnacentral:lncRNA from 1 species